rnacentral:lncRNA from 1 species
GUGACACGAUCGGGAGAGGGGCUGGAGCAGCGAUAAAUCAGCCGCGGCUCGGCCAGCGCCGGACGGACACUGCGGCAAAAAGGAGGGGGGGGGGUGGGGUGGGGGGCGCAAAAAGAAAAGGGGGGAAAAAUGAAAGGAAAAAAAUAAGGGGGGGAAAUUCGGAGCUGCGCAGCGAGCGGCGGGGGUUGCGCGGGCGCGGAGCAGCUGGAGCGGCGGCGGUGCCGACCUGCGCGGGCUGCGCUUCUCCUCGUUUGGGUUUCUUAUUUUUCAUUCUUUUCUUGGCUUUUUUUCUUUUCUUUUCUUUUUUUUUUUUAUCCUUUUUCUUUUCCUGUACCUUAGCUGAAAAUGGCUACCAGGGGCUUGGCGAUCGCUUGAGGAGGCAGAGAUGGCAGGCAGCGCCGGAGUGGGGGCGCGGAGACCGCAGCCGCUACGCCCCAUCACCGCCGCCCAGGGCGGGCAGCCUCUGCCUGGGAUCGCGGCGGCACAACCGGGCAAACCCGGGCACAAGCCGCCGGGCUGCGAACACCCUCGGCGGGUAAAGCCGGUGCCGCGGGGCUGGCGGAAUGCUGCCGGGGACCCUGCGCGCCCGCGUAGGGAUUAAUUCACCUUUUUUUAUUGUUAUAUUAUUGGGUUUUUAUUUUAUUGCCGUGCACAGACCUACAGCUGUACGUGCAAAUAAAAGCGAGAGCUCACGGAUACCGGCUUUG